AUGACGUCAAGUCCUCAUGGCCUUUAUGCUAAGGGCUACACACGUGCUACAAUGGGUGGUACAAAGAGAAGCCAACUCGCGAGAGCGCGCCAAUCUCAAAAAGCCAUCCUCAGUUCGGAUUGGAGUCUGCAACUCGACUCCAUGAAGUUGGAAUCGCUAGUAAUCGCGGAUCAGCAUGCCGCGGUGAAUACGUUCCCGGGCCUU
rnacentral:rRNA from 1 species